UGACUGCGUUUUGCGGUGCGGGA
rnacentral:siRNA from 1 species